rnacentral:tRNA from 1 species
CAAAUUAAAGCUUUAUAUAGUUUAAGCUUAUUAUUUACACUAAUAAAUAAGUUGUGCAAUUCAAUUUAAUUUGA